rnacentral:rRNA from 1 species
UACGAAGGGGCUAGCGUUGUUCGGAAUACUGGGCGUAAAGCGCGCGCAGGCGGUUCUUUUAAGUCAGGGGUGAAAGCCCAGAGCUCAACUCUGGAAUUGCCUUUGAAACUAGAGAACUUGGGUACGGGAGAGGUGAGUGGAAUUCCGAGUGUAGAGGUGAAAUUCGUAGAUAUUCGGAAGAACACCAGUGGCGAAGGCGGCUCACUGGCCCGUUACCGACGCUCAGGCGCGACAGCGUGGGGAGCAAACAGG